GCUAGGAUGAACGCUAGCUACAGGCUUAACACAUGCAAGUCGAGGGCAUCGAGAAGAAAGCUUGCUUCUUGUCGGCGACCGGCGCACGGGUGAGUAACGCGUAUCCAACCUACCCUUUACACUGGGAUAGCCCGUUGAAAAGCGGAUUAAUACCAGAUGCAGUCCUUUGCGGACAUCUAAGUAGGACGAAAGGUUUUUCCGGUAGAGGAUGGGGAUGCGUCCGAUUAGCUUGUUGGCGGGGUAACGGCCCACCAAGGCGACGAUCGGUAGGGGUUCUGAGAGGAAGGUCCCCCACACUGGUACUGAGACACGGACCAGACUCCUACGGGAGGCAGCAGUGAGGAAUAUUGGUCAAUGGGCGUAAGCCUGAACCAGCCAAAAGUAGCGUGCAGGAUGACGGCCCUAUGGGUUGUAAACUGCUUUUAUAGGGGAAUAAAGUUCGGGACGUGUCCCGUUUUGUAUGUACCCUAUGAAUAAGGACCGGCUAAUUCCGUGCCAGCAGCGGC
rnacentral:rRNA from 1 species